rnacentral:lncRNA from 1 species
AUUAAUUCAUCAUUUAGGUAGGUAUCUAUUUUAAAUUUUAGACAUGUCAUCAAAUAGUAAACAUUACAAAAAUGCUACAAUUAAGCAAAUGAAUGUGCAAAAAAUAUCUAGUUUUAAUAUUUCAGUGAAAAGUGAAAUACUAGUUUAGAUAAUAAAACUAUGGAUAUGACAGACACUAAUGAUAAUUCAAUGGAUGUUUUUGAAAAUUUAGAACAUCAUCCAUUACCACACUCUCUUUCAGACACACUCUGUUUUGAAUAUGAGAAUAUAUUAUUAGAAGAUGAAAAAUGUAUUAGUGAUACUACGGAGGAUACUACAUAAAAGUCUUACCAGUAGCUUAUCAGAAUGGUCCUGUAAACAUAAUAUUACACAUGUGGCUAUUAAUGACCUGUUAAAUAUUUUAAAACCAUAUCAUCCUGAAUUACCCCGAGAUGCUAGAACUCUGUUACACACUCUAAGGAAAACUAUUCUACAACCAAUAAACUCAGGUCACUAUAUUUAUUUUGGAUUGAGAAAUUGUUUGCAAAAACUACUGUCUCAGUAUUCUGGAGAAGAGUGUCUUGAUACUGUAGAAAUUUUAAUUAAUAUCUUUAUAAUUAAUAUCACUUUCAAAAAGUUCAUCCAGUCGAGUGUAUCCAAUUUUAUGCAGUAUAUAUCCGAAACAGGGGCCAGUUGAUAUAGUUGGUAUAUAUCACGGUUAUGAGAAACCCAAAGAUUCUAAUUUAUUUUUAGAAAAAUUUGUAGAAGAUGCCAUAGAAAUAAUUAAUAAUGAAGCUGCAAUAAAAAGUGAAAAAUGUAGUGAUAAGAAGGUGGCGGAGCAAGAAAUUGGACGAUGGUUGAGGAGAGCCGGGGAUCGCUUAAAAACUUUCAAGGAAAAGGAAUCAGAAUAAAAAUUGAAUUUAUUUAUUUUUUAAAUAAUAAAGAUAUAUUCACCUA